ACGCCUGCCCAGUGAUCAUUUCAACGGCCACGGUACCCUAACCGCGCGAAGGUAGANNGACACUUCUCUAAAUAAGGACCGGUAUGAACGGCAUCAGAAGACGUCCUGUCUCCUUUCUGUAAUCAGUGAAACUGAUCCCCCCGUGAAAAAGCGGGGAUUAUACUACAAGACGAGAAGAACCCAUGGAGCUUUAAGAAAAUAGCAACUGCCACUAAAACAACACAGAAAAUAUGACAGACCUGACUAUCAACUUUAGGUUGGGGAGACCAUGGAGUAAAACAAAACCUCCACACUGAACGGGCCAGGCCCUAAUUUAAGAACCACAACUCCAAAAAUCAACAUAUUGACAUUUAUUGAUCCAAACCCUUGAUUAAUGAACCAAGUUACCCUGGGGAUAACAGCGCAAUCCAUUUCAAGAGCCCCUAUCGACAAAUGGGUUUACGACCUCGAUGUUGGAUCAGGGUAUCCCAGUGGUGCAGCCGCUACUAAAGGUUUGUUUGUUCAACAAUUAAAACCCUACGUGAUCUGAGUUCAGACCGGA
rnacentral:rRNA from 1 species